AUUGAAUGCUGGCGGCAGGCUUAACACAUGCAAGUCGAGCGGAGAUGAGGUGCUUGCACCUUAUCUUAGCGGCGGACGGGUGAGUAAUGCUUAGGAAUCUGCCUAUUAGUGGGGGACAACAUUCCGAAAGGAAUGCUAAUACCGCAUACGUCCUACGGGAGAAAGCAGGGGAUCUUCGGACCUUGCGCUAAUAGAUGAGCCUAAGUCGGAUUAGCUAGUUGGUGGGGUAAAGGCCUACCAAGGCGACGAUCUGUAGCGGGUCUGAGAGGAUGAUCCGCCACACUGGGACUGAGUCACGGCCCAGACUCCUACGGGAGGCAGCAGUGGGGAAUAUUGGACAAUGGGGGGAACCCUGAUCCAGCCAUGCCGCGUGUGUGAAGAAGGCCUUAUGGUUGUAAAGCACUUUAAGCGAGGAGGAGGCUACUGAGACUAAUACUCUUGGAUAGUGGACGUUACUCGCAGAAUAAGCACCGGCUAAUUCUGUGCCAGCCGCCGCCGUAA
rnacentral:rRNA from 1 species